CUCAGGUGUUGUUGGGUAGGGGAGCGUUCUGUAAGCCUGCGAAGGUGGCCUGUGAGGGUUGCUGGAGGUAUCAGAAGUGCGAAUGCUGACAUAAGUAACGAUAAAGCGGGUGAAAAGCCCGCUCGCCGGAAGACCAAGGGUUCCUGUCCAACGUUAAUCGGGGCAGGGUGAGUCGACCCCUAAGGCGAGGCCGAAAGGCGUAGUCGAUGGGAAACGGGUUAAUAUUCCCGUACUUGGUGUUACUGCGAAGGGGGGACGGAGAAGGCUAUGUUGGCCGGGCGACGGUUGUCCCGGUUUAAGCGUGUAGGUGUGUGUUCCAGGUAAAUCCGGUU
rnacentral:rRNA from 1 species